ensembl:snRNA U6 U6 spliceosomal RNA
GUGCCCACUUCAGUAGUACAUAUACUAAAAUUGGAACAAUAAAUGGCACCUGCACAAUGUUGACAUGCAAACUCAUGAAGUGUUUCAUAUAUUU